rnacentral:lncRNA from 1 species
GGCCUUUCUAACUGUAUAAUUCUCUCAAAAAUUUCUGGCCUGUUUACUUCUAGUCAACCUCCCAUGCUCAGAAUCACAUCCAAACUUCUAUGCUGGACAUAGUUCUCAGAACUGGGUUCACGCCUCUCUUUUGCAAGUUGGUAGAGGCUACACUGAGGACAUCUCAAACAACAGGCUGGAGCAGGAUGGCAGAAGCCUCAUCUCCUGCUUGUUCUGGCUCAGGAGCAAUUUACUUUUCGAAUGAGCAAAUGGCAUUGCAUGGAGAAGAGCAGAAAUGGAAGAUGCUCAUGAGAACUUGAAAGAGAUGCCAUGAAAAAGCUGAACACAUGGACAAGAAGAAAGGCUGAGACAGAAAGAUGGGCUCUGGUUACUUCUUCUCUACCCCCUAGGAGCCUUCACUCUGGCUGUAUAACAAUCACACUAUUUUUUAAUUUGUUCUCCCAAAAGAUCCACUGUCUGAGAGGAAAUCUACAGCCCCAUGUCCACUGGAGCGUCGCGUGUACAUGAUUCAAUUAACCUUUAAGGUGGCUCGGGAAGUUUGUGCAAUAGGAGAGCCAUGCCUUAAUUGGCAGCCUGACACAGACAAUAAAGUUUGAUCAGAUGUAGAGGGCAUCAGAGACAUCAUUAGCAUCCUCUACUGAAGACUACGUGGGGUGUAAAAGUUGUUUAAUUUCUGCUGGAGAAGUAAGGGAAGAGGAAACCUGGUUCACAUUUCCUGCAUGUUUUGUUUAGUAAAGAUCACCUUUCCCUACUACAAAUAUCAAGCAGGCCCAGUAUUUUGGUGUGUGUACAGCUUCCAACCUAGCUUUUACUGCUCUACAAUCCACCAAAUGAUCAUUUCUCUGUUAUUAAAACUUUGCAUUUCACAAGAGCUGUUUUGGAAAAACAAACAUAAAUAGAGGCAGAUGGGGUGAUUCCUUCUCAAGAGUUUCAAAUGGAAGAAAUGGAUGGGGCAGAGGGUAAGUGAGACAGUGUGCUAGAGAAAGCCUGGAGGAGGGUGGCUGUGUGUGUGUGUGUGUCUGUGUGUGUGUUUUAACUUUCACAAGAGUAGCAGUUGGGGAGAGGGACUCUGGAAACCAUGGAAAUGAGUACAAGGUCAAUGU